UGGUGCAGGAACAGGAUGUUCAGUUCGUCUCCUAGUCCACACUUCCACGGGAACCAUGCCUUGACCAGUCACCCACUGUCUCAACAAAGAGACUGCAGGAGUCCUGUAGUCAUGCUGGAAGGAGCAAGAAAUCUAGAACUGGCAAUCAGAUUGACCAGUCAAUACAGCGAUCCUUAGAAGCAUGCUCUUCAAAGUUGGAGACUUUGCAAGCAGAAAAGGAUGAUGUACAUCAUUUCUGCCAGUUUCUGGCUACACGUCUACGUGAACUAGGAAAGACACAGAGAAGAGAGGCCUUUCACAAACUGGGAGAUGUAUUGUAUGAACUGGAGGCCACCAGUGCAGACUACUGAGCUCUCAUUUGUGGACAGUUCUCUCUGUCUGUCGCAAUGUUGCUUUGUCAGCUAAUGUAUAUUUAUGUAGUGUAAACAGAUUAAACGAAUGAACUGCAUGUACUGUUUGGAACACGGUUUUCUAAAAUCUCCAGCGUGUGGCGGAGCGGUUCCCUAUAGGUGACUUCACGCACUAGGGAACUAUACCAAUACCUUCCCCGAGGGGAGGCCACGUUCAACUGCUCUCCCUAGCAGACUAUGCUGAGUAUGUGAUGGUUCUAUGUCCUGACAGGUGAUGCUGCAUGGCGUCCCCAUGGAGACAGUAUUGGUAUAGUUCCCUUGUGCAUGAUUGCUGAUAGGGGACUGCUCGGCCAUGGGAUGGAGAUCUUCGACAACCGUGUUGCGAACAGUACAUGCAUCUGCACUUCUGAAUAGAAAAUACCUUGAUCUAUAUGUGUUUGUCUUGCCAUGGCAACUUCCCCUCAGUCACAAAAUACAGGGCAAGUCUGUCUCGGACUGCUGCU